UAAUACGUACCGUCCAAACGUUAUUCGGAAUUACUGGGCUUAAAGGGUAUGUAGGCGGCGCUGUUAGUCGGGUGUGAAAUCCCUCGGCUCAACCGAGGAAUUGCGCCCGAUACUGCAGUGCUUGAGGGAGACAGAGGUAAGCGGAACUGAUGGUGGAGCGGUGAAAUGCGUUGAUAUCAUCAGGAACACCGGUGGCGAAAGCGGCUUACUGGGUCUCUUCUGACGCUGAGAUACGAAAGCUAGGGGAGCGAAGGGGA
rnacentral:rRNA from 1 species